rnacentral:rRNA from 1 species
UACGUAGGCAGCAAGCGUUGUUCGGAGUUAUUGGGCGUAAAGGGCUCGUAGGCGGCCUGUCGCGUCGGGAGUGAAAGCCCACUGCUUAACGGUGGGUCUGCUUCCGGUACGGGCGGGCUAGAGUAUGGCAGGAGAGGGAAGUGGAAUUCCCGGUGUAGUGGUGAAAUGCGUAGAUAUCGGGAGGAACACCAGUGGCGAAGGCGACUUCCUGGCCUGUUCUUGACGCUGAGGCGCGAAAGCUAGGGUAGCAAGCGGG